rnacentral:lncRNA from 1 species
AAACAUCUAAACAUUAACGAGAGAUCACUCGCUUCUCUCUUCAUCCUCUUCAUCUUCCCCACCCUGACCCCCUCCAGCGCCAAACCCUAACCCUAAUUUCUCCCCCCAUUUCAAUCCCAACAGAGAGAACCCCUAGAGAGACGAUCAGCCAAUGGAUUUGCAGCAGAGCAACAGCCUUUACGACGCUGCGUCGCAGCCGAACACGGCUGUCGACGCCUCAGCCGGACACGGCUGCCGACGCCUACACAUUCCUCGAAUUCAACACCCAGGGCGAAUCCGACUUCGACUACCCGGAAUUCCGGUCCCCCGUCGUCUGGCCAACUCCGUCAGAUUCCCUCGCUUCGGCGGCAGCGACGGCAACUUCGUCAUCCUCGCCUGUAGUUGACC